rnacentral:rRNA from 1 species
GUGAGGAAUUUUCCGCAAUGGGCGAAAGCCUGACGGAGCAAUGCCGCGUGAAGGAUGAAGGCCUAUGGGUUGUAAACUUCUUUUCUUGGAGAAGAAUAUUGACGGUAUCUGAGGAAUAAGCAUCGGCUAACUCUGUGCCAGCAGCCGCGGUAAGACAGAGGAUGCAAGCGUUAUCCGGAAUGAUUGGGCGUAAAGCGUCUGUAGGUGGCUUCAAAAGUCUCCUGUCAAAGAUCAGGGCUUAACCCUGGGCCGGCAGGAGAAACUCUGAGGCUAGAGUUUGGUAGGGGCAGAGGGAAUUCCCGGUGGAGCGGUGAAAUGCGUAGAGAUCGGGAGGAACACCAAAGGCGAAAGCACUCUGCUGGGCCACAACUGACACUGAGAGACGAAAGCGAGGGGAGCAAAAGGGAUUAGAUACCCGUGUAGUCC